AUUCCGGUUGAUCCUGCCGGAGGUCAUUGCUAUUGGAGUCCGAUUUAGCCAUGCUAGUUGCACGAGUUCAGACUCGUAGCAGAUAGCUCAGUAACACGUGGCCAAACUACCCUAUGGAUCCGAACAACCUCGGGAAACUGAGGCUAAUUCGGAAUACCGUUCGCUGCCUGGAGUGGCACGAACGCGAAACGCCCCGGCGCCAUAGGAUGUGGCUGCGGCCGAUUAGGUAGACGGUGGGGUAACGGCCCACCGUGCCUAUAAUCGGUACGGGUUGUGAGAGCAAGAGCCCGGAGACGGUAUCUGAGACAAGAUACCGGGCCCUACGGGGCGCAGCAGGCGCGAAACCUUUACACUGCACGAGAGUGCGAUAAGGGGACUCCAAGUGCGAGGGCAUAUAGUCCUCGCUUUUCACGACCGUAAGGUGGUCGUGGAAUAAGUGCUGGGCAAGACCGGUGCCAGCCGCCGCGGUAAUACCGGCAGCACGAGUGAUGACCGCUCUUAUUGGGCCUAAAGCGUCCGUAGCUGGCCACGCAAGUCCAUCGGGAAAUCCGCGCGCUUAACGCGUGGGCGUCCGGUGGAAACUGCGUGGCUUGGGACCGGAAGACCAGAGGGGUACGUCCGGGGUAGGAGUGAAAUCCCGUAAUCCUGGACGGACCACCGGUGGCGAAAGCGCCUCUGGAAGACGGAUCCGACGGUGAGGGACGAAAGCUCGGGUCACGAACCGGAUUAGAUACCCGGGUAGUCCGAGCUGUAAACGAUGUCUGCUAGGUGUGGCACUGGCUACGAGCCAGUGCUGUGCCGUAGGGAAGCCGUGAAGCAGACCGCCUGGGAAGUACGUCCGCAAGGAUGAAACUUAAAGGAAUUGGCGGGGGAGCACUACAACCGGAGGAGCCUGCGGUUUAAUUGGACUCAACGCCGGACAUCUCACCAGCAUCGACAAUGUGCUGUGAAGGUCAGGUUGAUGACCUUACUGGAGCCAUUGAGAGGAGGUGCAUGGCCGCCGUCAGCUCGUACCGUGAGGCGUCCUGUUAAGUCAGGCAACGAGCGAGACCCGCACUCCUAAUUGCCAGCAACACCCUUGUGGUGGUUGGGUACAUUAGGAGGACUGCCAGUGCCAAACUGGAGGAAGGAACGGGCAACGGUAGGUCAGUAUGCCCCGAAUGUGCUGGGCGACACGCGGGCUACAAUGGCCAAGACAGUGGGA
rnacentral:rRNA from 1 species